UGGAGAAAGCUGCUAGAGUCCUUCCUGCUCUUCAGGGGCUCACCGAGAUGAAACCAUUCCUCAGUGUAAUGCAUGCUCGAGCCCAUGCUACAAAGUGUGAGAUUAAAUGGAGUGGUAGGAACCAGGAAGGAGCAGGAACAACAGCCGGUGAGGAGGUGGAGCAAGUGAACAGCUACCUCUCACGUUGUGCCCUGACGACCAAAUACAUGUCAGAAGCAGCACGGGUGGACAUGCUUACCUUGCAUGCAGUGGGGUGGAACCACAAAACAAGUCUCUCUCUACAUCAGGCACUUUCCACAAGAUAUGUGAAGAGAAGUCUCCUAUUAAUUGUUUUGUGUGUCCUUUUGUUGUGUGCACUUGGCCUGUUGUUUAUCAUACAAAGUUUUUAUCCUGAUUAUUGUAUAUUAAAGGGUUAGUUCACCCAAAAAUGAGAAUAAUGUCAUGUAUUACUCACCCUCAUGCUGAUCCACACCCGUAAGGGUUCGGUUAGAUGGAUGAACUUUUGUUCAUCUUCAGAACACAAAUUAAGAUAUUUUUGAUCACAUCCGAUGGCUCAAUGAGGCCUCCAUUGACAGCAAUGACAUUUCCUCUCUCAAGAUCCUUUAAUGUAUUAAAAACAUAUUUAAAUCAGUUCAUGUGAGUACAGUGGUUCAAUAUUAAUAUUAUAAAGCGACAAGAAUAUUUUUGGUGCGCCAAAAAAACAAAAUAACGACUUAUAUAGUGAUGGACGAUUUCAAAACACUGCUUCAGGAAGCAUCAGAGCGUUUAUGAAUCGGUGUCGAAUCAUGAUUUGGAUCACGUUUCAAACUGCUGAAAUCACAUGACUCUGUGCUCCGAACUGCUGAUUCGUUGCUGGCAAUGGAGGCCUCACUGAGCCAUCGGAUGUAAUCGAAAAUGUCUUCAUUUGUAUUCUGAAUAUGAACGAAGGUCUUACGGGUGUGAAACGACAUGAGGGUUAUUUUUGGGUGAACUAACCCUUUAACACUGUUUAUCAGACUUGUCAGAGACUCCAGGAUGAGGCUGCAAGGCUAGCUGUACUAAAAACAGAGCUACAUUGCACAGAUGAAUUGGUGUCACAGUGGCUCUCUGAUGUGAAGGAAUGGGCAGCUGAUGAGACACCAGAUACAUCUCAUGCCAGCAGCACACACAGAGGACUUCAGCAGUCAAUUGAGGGGCUUUAUCUUCGUGUGAGGCAGCGGAAGCAAACCCUUUACCGCCAGAAUGGUAUAGCUAUAU